CCGAUCAAGAGAAUUCUUAUGCCGUGUGAAAUCGAAAAAACACUCUACAAUACAGCAAUAAACACAAUAUUGAAGUAACGUAAUUUGUUACCUGUUUCCAACGUUGACAUCAUGGUAUAGUGGUAAACACGGAGGCCAUCAUGAGCGAAAGUUGUGGACCAUUCCCAGGUAAAAGUCUCGUAACUUUUCUUUAUUUUUUUUUGCCAUUAUUUUUUCCAAAUGUCUUCAAAUCGUUCCACAUAACAGCUUAUUACUAAUAUUUUGAUAAUAUUUUGUAUAUUUAGAUAAUUUUGAGUCGAUUUAACCAACGAUGACGAGGGCAUGAACAACGAUGUAUAGCGAUGAAGAGAAUCUUAUGUAGGGUGAAAUCUAAAAAAAUCUACAUACAGCUAGUACAACGGAAAAUAGAAUAUUGAAGUAUUGCAUGACUAUUGUAAUUUGUUACCAUUUAUAUCGUUGACAUCAUGGUAUUGUGGUAAACACCGAGGCCAUCAUGAGCGAAAGUUGUGGACCAUUCCCAGGUAAAUUCCCGUAACUUUUCGUAUAAUUUUUUCUUCAUUUCUUUUUGUCUUUAUUUUUUCAAAAAGUCGCCAAAUCGCUCCUCAUAACAGUUAAUACUCAUAUUUUGAUAAUCUUUAGACAAUUUUGAGUCGAUUUAAAUGAACAACCCGAUCAAGAGAAUUCUUAUGCGGGGUGAAAUCGAAAAACACUAUCUACAGUACAGGAAUAAACACAAUAUUGAAGUAAUA